rnacentral:rRNA from 1 species
AUUGAACGCUGGCGGAAUGCUUUACACAUGCAAGUCGAGCGGCAGCGCGGCCUUCGGGCUGGCGGCGAGCGGCGAACGGGUGAGUAAUGCAUCGGAACAUGCCCAGUCGUGGGGGAUAACACUUCGAAAGAAGUGCUAAUACCGCAUGCGUCCUGAGGGGGAAAGCGGGGGAUCGCAAGACCUCGCGCGAUUGGAGUGGCCGAUGUCAGAUUAGCUAGUUGGUGGGGUAAAGGCCUACCAAGGCGACGAUCUGUAGCUGGUCUGAGAGGAUGAUCAGCCACACUGGGACUGAGACACGGCCCAGACUCCUACGGGAGGCAGCAGUGGGGAAUUUUGGACAAUGGGGGCAACCCUGAUCCAGCCAUUCCGCGUGAGUGAAGAAGGCCUUCGGGUUGUAAAGCUCUUUCGGCAGGAACGAAACGGUGGGCUCUAACAUAGUCCGCUAAUGACGGUACCUGAAGAAGAAGCACCGGCUAACUACGUG